rnacentral:rRNA from 1 species
GACGAACGCUGGCGGCGUGCUUAACACAUGCAAGUCGAACGAUGAACCCGGAGCUUGCUCUGGGGGAUUAGUGGCGAACGGGUGAGUAACACGUGAGUAACCUGCCCUGGACUCUGGGAUAAGCGUGGAAAAGGACUUCUAAUACCGGAUAGGACCUUGGGUCGCAGGAUCUGGGUCGGAAAGUUUUUUCGGUCGGGGAUGGACUCGCGGCUUAUCAGCUUGUUGGUUAGGUAAUGGCCCACCAAGGCGUCGACGGGUAGCCGGCCUGAGAGGGUGCCCGGCCACGCUGGGACUGAGCAACGGACCAGGCUCCUACGGGAGGCAGCAGUGGGGAAUAUUGCACAAUGGGCGAAAGCCUGAUGCAGCAACGCCGCGUGCGGGAUGACGGCCUUCGGGUUGUAAACCGCUUUUAGUAGGGAAGAAGGGCUUCGGCUUGACGGUACCUGCAGAAAAAGGACCGGCUAACUACGUG